rnacentral:rRNA from 1 species
AUAGGUUUGGUCCCAGCCUUCCUGUUAACUUUCAAUAGACUUAUACAUGCAAGCAUCCACGCCCCGGUGAGUAACGCCCUUCGAAUCACAUAGGACUAAAAGGAGCAGGUAUCAAGCACACACUCUUGUAGCUCACAACGCCUUGCUCAACCACACCCCCACGGGAGACAGCAGUAACAAAAAUUAAGCCAUAAACGAAAGUUUGACUAAGCCAUAUUGACCAGGGUUGGUAAAUCUCGUGCCAGCCACCGCGGUCAUACGAUUGACCCAAGCUAACAGGAGUACGGCGUAAAGCGUGUUAAAGCAUCAUACUAAAUAGAGUUAAAUUUUAAUUAAACUGUAAAAAGCCAUAAUUAUAACAAAAAUAAAUGACGAAAGUAACCCUACAAUAGCUGAUACACCAUAGCUAAGACCCAAACUGGGAUUAGAUACCCCACUAUGCU